AUUGAACGCUGGCGGCAGGCCUAACACAUGCAAGUCGAGCGAGCGGCGGACGGGUGUGUAAUGUAUGGGGACUGCCAGAUAGAGGGGGAUAACUACUGGAAACGGUGGCUAAUUCCGCAUACUCUCGGAUAACCCAUAUGGGAUUAGCUAGUAGUUGGGGUAAAGGCUCACCUAGGCGACGAUCUAUAGCUGGUCUGAGAGGAUGCACAGCGAAACGUGGACGUAGACACGGCGCAGAAUCCGUGGGAGUGAGCAGUGGAGAAGAUGGCUCAAUGGGUGAAAGCCGGAUGCAGCCAUGCCGCGUGUGUGAAGAAGGCCAUAGGGUUUUAAAGUACUUACAGCGGUGAGGCGUUACCCUCAUAUGAAGCACCGGCUAACUCCGUGCCAGCAGCCGCGGUAAUAC
rnacentral:rRNA from 1 species